CAAAUAUGUUGCAGAUUAUAACAUUUUAUUCAAGCUUGUCCAACUAAGACAAUAUUUUCAGAGGAAGCAUGAUAAGAACAUGUUCACUAAGACAUGAACUUAACAUAUAAGUAUAACAGCUUCAUUAAGGUAGAGGUUAGCGUAAAUGUGGUAGAAUUCAUUAUACCUACAGAUACAAUAUAUGGGAAGAAGAUACUGCUGUCAGGCUACCACUGCCCAGAUCAGAGCCAAAACUUCAAAAUGACAGUAUCAGGCUUAUUGCUAGAUGCCAGUAAGCAGCAGCAACAAAGAAAACAAAAUAUAACCUAUCCUUAUUUCAUUUUAAGAGGGAAUCUUCAGGCUGGAUCUUUCCCAAAGGACAUUAUAGCAUGCGUUGCUAGCAGAAAUCCUCUGCGACUCAUUUCCAUAAUUCGGCCAACAAGCGGUAUGCU
rnacentral:lncRNA from 1 species